ACCGGCAAACGGGUGCGGAACACGUACACAACCUUCCUUCAAGUGGGGAAUAGCCCAGGGAAACUUGGAUUAAUACCCCGUAAUAUUAUGGAGUGGCAUCACUUUAUAAUUAUAGCUCCGGCGCUUGAUGAUGGGUGUGCGCCUGAUUAGGUAGUUGGCGGGGUAACGGCCCACCAAGCCUUCGAUCAGUAACUGGUGUGAGAGCACGACCAGUCACACGGGCACUGAGACACGGGCCCGACUCCUACGGGAGGCAGCAGUAAGGAAUAUUGGUCAAUGGACGCAAGUCUGAACCAGCCAUGCCGCGUGAAGGAUGAAGGCCCUCUGGGUUGUAAACUUCUUUUAUCUGGGAAGAAAUCUACUUUUUCUAAAGUGGUUGACGGUACCAGAGGAAUAAGCACCGGCUAACUCCGUGCCAGCAGCCGCGGUAAUACGGAGGGUGCAAGCGUUAUCCGGAUUCACUGGGUUUAAAGGGUGCGUAGGUGGGUUGGUAAGUCAGUGGUGAAAUCUCCAAGCUUAACUUGGAAACUGCCAUUGAUACUAUCAGUCUUGAAUACCGUGGAGGUCAGCGGAAUAUGUCAUGUAGCGGUGAAAUGCUUAGAUAUGACAUAGAACACCCAUUGCGAAGGCAGCUGACUACGCGGAGAUUGACACUGAGGCACGAAAGCGUGGGGAUCAAACAGGAUUAGAUACCCUGGUAGUCCACGCCCUAAACGAUG
rnacentral:rRNA from 1 species